UUUGAUUGGAAUUGAAUACAUAUUAUUUUUACCUAUACAACAAAUUAAAUCCAAGAAAUUAUAUUCCAAUAUUUGGUAAAUCUUAAUAGCUACUCGACAGCAAAAAAUAAGUCUUUUAACAUGUUUUUUUAUUUUUUUUUGGUCUAGAAACCGCAGGAGUUUUAUUUGAAAACCAGAACACAAUAAUCUAUAGAUCAACCAAUAAAUUAAAAUGAAAUUCUCAUUGGAGCAUAGGAGAAUUACAACAACUCAUUUCUCCAAUUAAAAUCUCAUCCUCCUCUCUGUUAUGACAUGAAUGAAUAACUAUCUUUGCCUUUAAAAUUAGGCUCUGUAACCCUUCAUGAAUUUAGAGCUGAAUAAGGAGUCUCUCUCUGGUGGUUAAAUUAAUGAAUGAUAUAGGUCAACACCAAAGCCACAAGCAUUAAAACACAUGCAAUCGCUUGGUCAAUUUUGGUGCCUGCAUAUUAUAAACAACAACAAUUCAUUAGCAAUACUCACUACAUACUCUCCUUUCAAUAAUGCUCAUAAAGAAUAUAGCAUGGAAAAAUAAAAAAUUGAAAAUUAAAUAUGAUGAAUUUUUUGGCCACAACCCUUUAGUUUUGGGGAAGGGGACUUGGCAAUCCAUAAUUAAGACAAAGGUAAGUAAAAUUUGGUUAAAGAUUGUUCCAUCAAAGUCAUGUUCUUCUGUAACAAAAAAAAAAAAAACUCAAGUUCUUCCAAACGAUUUUCACAUUUGUUUUGUAAUCAUUAGAAAAAUAUUUGUUAUAUGAAUAUAUUAACUAAUCAAAUAAAAAUUGAUCAAACAUCAACAAUGGUAUCUAAAAAUUAAAUGAGAGAAAAUUAAGAAUAUUUACCAUCGCUUGUAGGAGCAGGGGCAGGUGCAAUGGAUUGUGAACAAGCCACAGAAAUAAGUGUAGCAUAAAUGAGGCCAAGGAAGGCAACCACCCUGAAUGAAGCACAUGAAACAGCCAUAUAUGUUUCUCUUAAUAUUUUCUUUCUUCUUCUUCUUGUUGUUUUAUUUCUCUCUCUCCUUCUCUUUCUCUCUUGAUUUUUCAAGUUUUUAGAGAGAAAGAAAGGAGAGAGAAAUUAACUAAUUAAUCCAAAUAAUAACAAGACUUGUGUAGGAGAAAGAUGUUCGGGGUGGUGAAAAUGAAUUAGCUUUGUGGAAUUCCUUUUAUAAUGGCAAUGCAAGUUUUCAUAAGCCACCUAAGUUGAGAUGUUAAUUGAAGGUGUACCCGUAUGUUUAGGAGAAUCUACAAUAAUAUACUAACAUGAGAUUUUCUUUCUGUUCUUACUUAAUAUUUAACCAAUAAUAUUUUUCAAUGGCAACUCAUAUUUGCUUUUGCACUUUUUUGGGUAUGUUUUCUUCUAUAUAGAAACACCAAAACCAUGAUCAUGAUGGGUAUUUUUUUAAUGGAUGAAUAAAACACAUUUACUAAACCAAAAAUAUAAAAAGAUAAAAAAAUUGUUUUGAUUUUUAAAAAGUGUGGCUGCUGGGAUUCGAGCCCAGGUCUCCACGGCCACAACGUGGAAUUCUUACCACUAAACUACAGCCACUUGAUGUUCUUAUAUCGAACAUACCUUUUUAAAUAGACAUAUUACUUUUUUUUUGAGGGAUUAAAUAGACAUAUUACUGUUUUGAGGGGAAAAAAAAUAUACACAUCCAAAAAAAAAAAAUCAACAAAAAUUUGGUUUCUAUCUUGUGUUGUUUGUUUUUUUAUAACAACUAUCGACAAUUGAAAUCCUUUAAAAAGUUUCUAUGCACUGCAAAUAAUCUGCAUUAAAAAAAAACUAAUAGAAUCCUUCUGCUUGCGUUGUAGAAGAAGCAUCAUGACUGACUUCAAUUUUUAUUUUAUUUUUAAAGUAAAGGUACUCUCCCGAGUAAUUAUGUAGACUUAUCCGCUCUUAGUAACUGAGAUUUAUUUAAAAGAUUGAUCUCUAGACAGAUUGAACUUUGAAUUGGGGUUCAACUGUCUGCUACCCCCCUUUGUUCAUUAUGUUGGUGACUUACUUAAGCUUAUGUCAAAAUAGCAUUAAGGAGUAAGCUUAUUUACUUGCUUAUAUCAUCUUUGAUAAGCUAAUUCAAAUAUCUCGUAUCUUAAAACUUUUAACUUAUCAUUAUUUAUCUCAAUUUUAUCCCUGUAACAUUUAUUGAAAUAAAUUUAAUAUAUAUUAAAUAUAUCAUUUUAUGUCAUUUCAUAUUUAUAAGUUAAUUCAACCACUGAUUUUAUGUCUUAUAGUUUCAGCUGCCAUAAGACAUACGUUGUAAACUCAAAAAUGGAAUUUGUCAAACAUAUUCAAAUUUCUAAGUAGUUGAUCUAUUAAUGUUUGCAUAUUGGAUAACUAUUCUAUUAGUUAUAUGAUUAUUACUUUGUCCAUUGUAAAUUUAUUAUAGUUUUAAUAUUUUAUAUUUGUUAAAAAAUAACAGAUAUUUUAGAAAUCCAAAAUAUAAUUAACCUAUUUUAAAUAACAGAUAUUUUAAAUAACAGAUAUUUUUUAAAUAAUUAAUAAUAGAAUAAAACUAUUUUGAUAUACAUAUAUAUUGAUUAAAUAAUUUUUAAUGUGUGUGAAAAGUUCAAAUAAUUUUUAUUAAAUCACUAAACAACAUAACUAAUGUUUAGUGAUUUAUUAUUUGUGAGGAUGAUGAUUAGUGAUCAAGUUUUAAGACUAUGUUCUUUAUGAGGAUGAUGAUCAGUGAUCUAGUUUUAAGAUUUAUGUAAUGUUAUGUUUUUUUUUUUUUUUGUUUACUAAACAUUGAAGCAAAGAGCCCUUGAUAGUUAUCACUGAGACACACUUUACAAGUUUUAUAAAGAGGUGCAACACAAGUUUUAUAAAGAGAUGACACACUUUACAACUUUAGUUUGUUUAGUGACUCAUGUAUGUUGUUUAGUGAUUGUAAAAGAAAUUUAUUUUCAUAGGGUAGAAGAAAUUUAUAUUUUCAAACAUACACAUUGUACCCUAUAUAUUGAAAAUCAAAACAUAUUAGAGUUACAAAUUAAUAUGUUACACUUUUUGUUUAUUUUAAUACUAUUGCAAUUUUAUGUCAUGCAACUUUAGUUUGUUGCAAGUAUUUUAUGAUGGAGUUUAUUAUUUGAUAUUCUAUGAUGCAUAAAAUUAUAGUAAAAUAAGUUAAACAUUCUUUUUAAGAAAAUUAAAAAGUAGAAUACUAUUUUAAAACAAAAUUAUGAGGACAUGUCAUUUAAUCAUUUAAUAUUAAAAAAAUAGAAAAAUAACUUGGAUAACCCAUUACCCAAUCCAACCCAACCCAAAAAUUAGUGGGAUUGCCCAAACCCACCCAAUAGUAUGACAAGUGGUUAUUUUACCUCACCCAAAUCGAAGUACCCUAUUUGAUUUGGUUUUGGGUUUCCCAAGCCCACCUACGAACACCCCCCAAUGACAGGUUUUCUUUAGCCAACUUUGGACACAAAAUAUAGUGAUUUUCUGCUCACAUAUAUGACAUAAAACUUAUAAUUCGUACGUUAAAAAUCAAGAUUGCAUUUCUACAAACACGUUGUAUGCAUCCGUAUAACAUUGAACACAAAAUACAGUGAUAACAUUCUAUAAUUUGCUCACAUACAAGACUUAAAACUUGUAAUUCAUAUGGUAAAAAACAAGCUUGCAUUUCUACAAACACGUUAUAUGCAUAAAAACAACCAAUUUAAAAAUAAAUGAAAAUGUGAACACAUUAUCAUAAAGAACAAUUAACAUAAACAUUUAUGCAUACAAGUUCAAAACAACUUCAAAUAUAGAAAAGGGUUGAACAAAUUAAAAUAAGUUACAGUCAAAGUACCGCAUUUAAUGGAAAAGGAAAGAAUGAUUGGCCUAUUGAAUCUUGAUUUGGAAUAUGUUAUCGUGGAUUAUGAAAGAGAAGAUCGUCGAAAGUUUACGGUGGAUUUCAAAAGUGGUGACUAAAAUUAUUUCAUGUUGUUGUUAGGAAAGAGGUGAGAGGAAACGUAAACGAGAAUGUAUCUAAGGUGACUAGAGAAAUCUCGUGUUUGUUAUUUAAAUAAAUGUGGGUUUUUUAAGAAUUUUAGAGGGGAGUAUUUUGGGUAACGUUUAGUAUGGGAAAUGAUUCUUU
rnacentral:lncRNA from 1 species